GAGUAGGCACCAGAUCCAUCCUCGCAGCCGCCGAUAGAAGAGGAGGAGCCAGGGUGGGACAGUGGCCAUCGUUUGCAGCCACCAUAGGAGGAGGGGGCACCAGGGUGUGGCAGUGGCUGUCGUUUGCGACUACCGUAGGAGGAGGAUGGGGUGCUGGGGUGCGACAGUGGCCGUCGUUUGCGGCUGACUCAUGGGAGUAGGUAUCAGAUCUAUCCUCUCAGCCAUCAUCGGAGGAGAAGGGGGGCCGAGGUGGGGCAGCGGCCAUCAUUCACGACCGCCGUCAGAGGAGGAGGGGGUGC
rnacentral:lncRNA from 1 species